AAAAGGGUAGAAAUGUACAUGAGAAGGGAAUAAAAACAUGAUGAUUAAAGGAUAAGGGUAGGGUAGUAAUAACAGUAGGAUUACAAUGGUAUUUUGGAAAUGGAAAAUGGUCAGAAUUGACUAUAUUAAUGUGUUGAUAGUCAAGCACCAAUAAGACAAAAGCUUAUACAAUAGUUUAAUGCUAGUGGGUAACAAACCCUUAUAUCAUGCCUUGAUUUAGGGAAGAAAAUAACGAAAAGCCUUACUUAGAGGGAUUUAGUUGAAAAUAGGCAAAUUUUCUUUGGGUGAUUUGUCGAGUAAGUGAAGUUUUUCAAAGGAGGGUAGGUCUAGGGGGUUACUAUAAAUACAGAGAGUUGAAGAGUAAUUAGGGACUAGAUUUUGAACAUUAGAAAUUGAGUUCUUAGAAAGAAUUUUAACAUUAGAAGUUCAGUAUUAGGAGAGCUGAAAAUAUAGAACUUGAUUCUAGAGAUCAAAAUUUCAAAACAAAAGAAAUAGUCAGUCUUUGAGAGCUAAAAACUGAAAGUGAAGCUUUUCUCUUUACUGUUUAUUUCAGAUUGAUUUUCCUAGUUGUUCUGUUUAUUUUAGGUACUGUUGUAUUGGUUUGUUGCUUAAAUUAUAUUGGGUUCUGUUAAAGAAUGGACUGUUUUUUCCUACUGGGUUGUAACUGGUUUUGUUGCUACUAUUUGUUGUGAUACUCUGCUACUGCUGUUGCUGAAUUUUAGCCACUGCUUUGCUGCCGAUGAUCCUCAUCUCUCCUUGUUUGAAAUUCAAACUCUGGGUACAAACAGUCGAUGUACUGAUUCAAUGUACUUGAGACUCGAAGUAUGAAUAAGAAUGAAGCCUUAAAGCCUUGAAAUUCGUUUAGUUGCAUUUUCGUAUCUUAAGUUAGGUAUAUACAGUAGAUAGCUUCAUCUGUCAAAGAGAUGUAGUAGUUUGAUAUGUAGAACUGAUACCUAAUGUUGUAUUAGCGGAUAUACUGUACUGAAUGUUAGUUUAAAGAACCACUAAUGUAAGGGUAAGUUAACAAAUCGUUUAUUGAGACUCAUCAAAAUAGGCUGUAUUAGUUACCAUUUUCUUUUUUGCCCAUUGCAAAUCUCAAACGCAUGUAUAUAGUAUAAUAUAGUUGGGCUCAAGCUAGUGUAAGAC
rnacentral:lncRNA from 1 species